rnacentral:rRNA from 1 species
CAGCCGCCGCGGGAAUACGUAGGUGGCAAGCGUUGUCCGGAAUUAUUGGGCGUAAAGGGCUCGCAGGCGGUUUCUUAAGUCUGAUGUGAAAGCCCCCGGCUCAACCGGGGAGGGUCAUUGGAAACUGGGAGACUUGAGUGCAGAAGAGGAGAGUGGAAUUCCACGUGUAGCGGUGAAAUGCGUAGAGAUGUGGAGGAACACCAGUGGCGAAGGCGACUCUCUGGUCUGUAACUGACGCUGAGGAGCGAAAGCGUGGGGAGCGAACAGGAUUAGAGACCCCAGUAGUCCCUGUCUCUUAUAC